rnacentral:rRNA from 1 species
CCUACGGGAGGCUGCAGUGAGGAAUAUUGGUCAAUGACCGGAAGGCUGAACCAGCCAAGCCGCGUGAAGGACGAAGGUGCCAAGCAUUGUAAACUUCUUUUGUCAAGGGACAAAAUCAGGCUCGAGAGCCUGACCGAGGGUACUUGAAGAAAAAGCAUCGGCUAACCCCGUGCCAGCAGCCGCGGUAAUACGGAGGAUGCGCGCGUUAUCCGGAUUUAUGGGGUUUAAAGGGUGCGUAGGCGGACUGUUAAGUCAGCGGUAAAACCCCGGGGCUCAACCCCGACGAGCCGUUGAAACUGGCUGUCUUGAGAUGUCGAGAGGUAUGCGGAAUGCGCAGUGUAGCGGUGAAAUGCUUAGAUAUCACGCAGAACCCCGAUUGCGAAGGCAGCCUGCCAAGCCAUGACUGACGCUGAUGCACGAAAGCGUGGGGAUCAAACAGGAUUAGAUACCCGUGUAGUC